UCAAAGCCCAUGCAGCCUCAAAUUGUAAUUGGGGCAGAUCAUGCCUUCCAAGAAAUUCCACAAACCGUGGGACAACACCUGCUUUAAUUACUUCAUCAAUUGGAGGACUUCGUUCAAUUGAUAAUAGCUUUCUAAACUGAGUAGUUGCUUCCAACUGCAAAGCUGGAUCAUCAGACCACACUCCUUGAACCAUUACAGGAAUACUUUCCAACCGCUUUUCGAUGGCGGCGGCAUUUUGAGAUGCAUCGAGUAAAUGUUGGGACUGAAGCAAGAGCCCUUCUCUUCGCUUCUUCAAAAGAUUGUCUUCUCGCUUAUUCUUUCUGAUCUCUACAAGAUUGUCCUCUCUCCUCCUUCUCGCCUCGUCCGCAUCAACACCCGUCUUGUACGCUUUCUUCCUCACCUCUGUUCUCGUGCUCGGCCUCAGCGACAUUUUUUUUCCCUCUCAAAGAUCUAAUCUGCGUGUGUUUGGGGAAAUGUCACAGAGAGAAGGGCUAAUUCGCCAAGAUUUUCAAUAUAAUGGGCGGGUCUUCAAAGUUAUGUGCUGUUUUGUGGCAAGACUUCUGGGUUGAGGAAGUCGCGUGCAAGUGGGUUUUGCUUUUCCUUUUUUUUUUUU
rnacentral:misc_RNA from 1 species